rnacentral:misc_RNA from 1 species
CAGAGUUCAUGCCCUUCGGGGUAGAUCUCCCACCCUGUGUAUUUAUACCUUUGUUGCUUUGGCGGGCCGUCAGGCCUCGGCUCGACUACCGGCUCCGGCUGGUAAGCGCCCGCCAGAGGACCCAAAACUCUGAAUGUCAAUGUCGUCUGAGUACUAUAUAAUAGUUA